GGGAUCAUGACCUGAGCCCAUAUCAAGAGUCGGACGCUCACGCGCUGAGCCGCCCGGGCGCCCCGGCUCACCUCCACUUCUGAGCAAAGUCCGAGUCAGUUACCAUGCUGUGUCGUGCUGGCUUCAGGAGCAGAGCCCAGUGGUUCGUCAGUCACCCACGUGGACGCGCCAGGAGGGCAGGACUUGGGCUCUCUCCCUGUCUUUGCUGUCAUCACACGCACGGCCUGACACAGUCACCGCUCACCACCAUCUGCUGGUGAGCAAAUGGUUCACACACAAGUGCAGGGAAGUCAUAGCGCUAAACAGGCAGAUGGCUGCUCGCGACCGGAUGCAAGUUUAAGGAUUCUCCGAGCUGGGCACCGGGGGCUCCGUCAGCUGAACAUCCUGCUCUUCAUCUCAGCUCAGGUCCCGAUCCCAGGGUCAUGGGACCGAGCCGGUGUCAUCGGGGUCUGAGCUGGUGUGGAGCCUGCUAAUGAUUCUCUCUCUCCCUGUCUUUCUGCCCCUCCCCUGCUUGCCAUC